AAUAAUUUCCCUCCUGCAUCAGACAAAUGAUUGCUUACCAACAGGUGAAGUUGUUGUAUAAUGGUAUCAACAAGUUCGAGAAUCAAUGAGUGGACUAUUAUUUACAGCUUUGUAUUGACAUUUACAUAUCUAUAAAUAUUUACAAUGUACCCAUAAUGUGACUUGCACAUAAGUUUAGUUUCUGGUUUUGCUCCACCUUGUAGAUGACUGAAAGGAGUACCGGUAAUGAACAAGAUAGUUCAAAUUGAACAGGUUACUCCAUCUUACUAAUCUAACCAAUUGUAACUGGAUUGGAUUCUACAAAGUGCACCAGCCAAAAGGACCGACUAAGCUAAAGAUUUGCAAGAGUCUUUCAUCCCAUAUAUACCAGCUUUAUUCAUUAAAGUAUACCUGGGACUGCACCUUUAAUCCUACUUGUAAGCCUGGAAAGUUAUUUAAAAAAAGUUUCAGAAAUAUAUACUGCUUUUAUUUUUAACGUUACCAAUAUUCUGCCAACUCAACCUUGCUAUACCUAGCCAAAAUUAUAAAACACAUAUGUCAUACUGUACAUAUAGAUCAUUAUCUCAAUCAAUCACACUUUCUUUAUUGGUAAGGUCACAAAAUUGAAAUUAAGAAUGCACUGUUGACUAUAAGGUUUGUUACACACAUCUGUCAUGGGUUCAGACACU